CUGAGUGUUGUUGACAGUGCCGCACGUGCCAUUUGACUUCAUAUAUCAGUAUCUUCUGAAGGGUGUGUGGCCCCCUACUGUAUGUACCAAAGGGGAAAAAGCCAACUUCCGCAAGGCAUGUAGACCCUUUGCUGUUAAGGAUGAAGAACUAUUCUACAAGAAGGUGAAAAAUGACGAGACUAGAGAGAAAGUGGAGGCCAUCAAGCAAGAAGCGACAGUGUCAAAUGUAACAAGCGACAGUGUCAAAAUGUGACAGUGAUGACUGGUGUAGUGUGGAUGUGUGCGUCCGUCAAUUUUUCGUACCUACGUCUUUCCGUGAGGCGGCUGGAGCAGGAAAUCGCCGAGCCGUGCUGCAGAGAGGAAAGGAUGGCAGGUGGUGCCGCUGUGAACACUCCCAACACGUGCAGGAGGAAAGUGAGUACCUGCUUCAUUACAUCAUGUGCCCUCUGUUUUGGAAGUCGCUGUUAAACUUUUUUUUUCCCAUGUCAACCGAAGCCUGUCACGGUUGCCUGCCUUUCUCCUGUCUGCUUCCCACGAAUCUAUGAAGAAAAGAAAGGAUAUGCUUCCAUGGUAUCGUGUCAGUAGUAUUAUUCAUUAAAGGAUUAGUUUAAACCUUUUUCUAAAGCUUUCUUUUGUCUCUCAUGUUUCUGCUUUCCUAGGGUAUAUAUAUGAAGAAGAAAGAAUAUAAAUUACUCUAUAAUGUUCAUUGUAAUAUCUUACAGGGAAAAAGUCCUUUCAGGAUUAACCGAGAAUCUUUUUCAAAACAAAAAUUUUUGUAUUCCAGUCUUCGUGUGCUUAUUUUAGUGUAUGCAUAAAAAUAGAAGGAUACGAAAUCAUAUAUUUUCUAUAACAGUGUCAUCUUGUUGAUAUAAAUAUUUAGUUAGAGAUUCAGUUGAAACCUAACAAUUAGCUAUCAUUUUUGUGCUCGUUUUUAUUUUUAUUUUUUUUAUUUUCGUAUAUAUCUUUUGUAUGUACAAGUAUAUGAGUGAAGAAAAGAAAGAUAUACAAUUAGAAAAUACUUUCCACAAUAACAGGAAUAUUCACUUGAGAACUUUUUCAGAUAACAA